rnacentral:rRNA from 1 species
UACGGAGGGAGCUAGCGUUGUUCGGAAUUACUGGGCGUAAAGCGCGCGUAGGCGGCUUUGUAAGUUAGAGGUGAAAGCCCGGGGCUCAACCCCGGAACUGCCUUUAAGACUGCAUCGCUUGAAUCCGGGAGAGGUGAGUGGAAUUCCGAGUGUAGAGGUGAAAUUCGUAGAUAUUCGGAAGAACACCAGUGGCGAAGGCGGCUCACUGGACCGGCAUUGACGCUGAUGUGCGAAAGCAUGGGGAGCGAACAGG